rnacentral:misc_RNA from 1 species
GAAAUGCGAUAAGUAAUGUGAAUUGCAGAAUUCAGUGAAUCAUCGAAUCUUUGAACGCAUAUUGCGCCCGCCAGUAUUCUGGCGGGCAUGCCUGUUCGAGCGUCAUUUCAACCAUCAAGCCCCCGGGCUUGUGUUGGGGACCUGCGGCUGCCGCAGGCCCCGAAAACCAGUGGCGGGCUCGCUGUCACACCGGGCGUAGUAGAUUUUUCGUCUCGCCCAGGGCGUGCUGCGGGUUCCGGCCGUUAAAAAGCCUCUCUUUUAACCCAAGGUUGACCUCGGAUCAGGUAGGAAGACCCGCUGAACUUAAGC